rnacentral:rRNA from 1 species
CGCGUAGGCGGCCUCUCAAGCGGGAUCUCUAAUCCGAGGGCUCAACCCCCGGCCGGAUCCCGAACUGGGAGGCUCGAGUUCGGUAGAGGCAGGCGGAAUUCCCGGUGUAGCGGUGGAGUGCGCAGAUAUCGGGAAGAACACCGAUGGCGAAGGCAGCCUGCUGGGCCGCAACUGACGCUGAGGCGCGAAAGCUAGGGGAGCGAACA